rnacentral:rRNA from 1 species
CUUACCAACCCGAUGCAAACUGCGAAUACCGGAGAAUGUUAUCACGGGAGACACACGGCGGGUGCUAACGUCCGUCGUGAAGAGGGAAACAACCCAGACCGCCAGCUAAGGUCCCAAAGUCAUGGUUAAGUGGGAAACGAUGUGGGAAGGCACAGACAGCCAGGAUGUUGGCUUAGAAGCAGCCAUCAUUUAAAGAAAGCGUAAUAGCUCACUGGUCGAGUCGGCCUGCGCGGAAGAUGUAACGGGGCUAAACCAUGCACCGAAGCUGCGGCAGCGACACUAUGUGUUGUUGGGUAGGGGAGCGUUCUGUAAGCCGUCGAAGGUGACCUGUGAGGGUUGCUGGAGGUAUCAGAAGUGCGAAUGCUGACAUAAGUAACGAUAAAGCGGGUGAAAAGCCCGCUCGCCGGAAGACCAAGGGUUCCUGUCCAACGUUAAUCGGGGCAGGGUGAGUCGACCCCUAAGGCGAGGCCGAAAGGCGUAGUCGAUGGGAA